rnacentral:rRNA from 1 species
AUACGGAGGAUCCGAGCGUUAUCCGGAUUUAUUGGGUUUAAAGGGAGCGUAGGUGGAUUGUUAAGUCAGUUGUGAAAGUUUGCGGCUCAACCGUAAAAUUGCAGUUGAAACUGGCAGUCUUGAGUACAGUAGAGGUGGGCGGAAUUCGUGGUGUAGCGGUGAAAUGCUUAGAUAUCACGAAGAACUCCGAUUGCGAAGGCAGCUCACUAGACUGUUACUGACACUGAUGCUCGAAAGUGUGUGUAUCAAACAGUAGUAGAUACCCUGGUAGUCCACACAGUAAACGAUGAAUACUCGCUGUUUGCGAUAUACAGUAAGCGGCCAAGCGAAAGCAUUAAGUAUUCCACCUGGGGAGUACGCCGGCAACGGUGAAACUCAAAGGAAUUGGCGGGG